rnacentral:lncRNA from 1 species
CCCAGGUCCACCAUCAUCCUCUGACCCCUCACCAACGAUCCCUCACUGCCCAGGUCCACCGUUAUCCUCCGACCCUCUCACCAACGAGCCCUCACUGCCCAGGUCCACCGUUAUCCUCUGACCCCUCACCAAUGAUCCCUCACUGCCCAGGUCCACCGUUAUCCUCUGACCCCUCACCAAUGAGCCCUCAUUGCCCAGGUCCACCAUCAUCCUCUGACCCCUCACCAACGAUCCCUCACUGCCCAGGUCCACCGUUAUCCUCCGACCCUCUCACCAACUAUCCCUCACUGCCCAGGUCCACUGUCAUCCUCUGACCCCUCACCAACGAUCCCUCACUGCCCAG